GGGAUAAGCAUUUACAUAGAAAAUCUGUAUGUCACCCGGACUUGGCUUGCACCCUAUGGCUGUUAUCCAUUGCAGUCCUUUCCUACUGAUGCUCAGAGGAUGGACAUCAUAGUUCUCCCUCUCUGGACACCUGGUCAUUUCCAGUUGUGUGUAAGUCUUGUUUUUUGACACAUACAAACUGUUAGAAUUUUGCUAUGUGUCUGAGAUGUAUUCAAGCUUUUAUGACGCAGUUUCAAAAGUCUUUGAUUGUGAUCGCUUGCAAUGACAUUGUCUUCAGGUUUGAAGUCAUGGCUAACUGUCUUUUAGGUACUGAGGCCACCUAAAAGAGAAAUCCUCUUUCUUGACCCAUUAUACACAAAGGCAGGAUUUGGUGGCCAACAAUAUGUUUCACUUUUGAGGUCACAUUUUUGGUUUGUUCCAGAAUUUUCAGGUGUUCCAGGUUAAGUGCAUCCCAGAUCAUGUUCUGCUGAUCUUGAGUGUUCACACAUACAGUACACUCACAUGCUUUUUUUAUAAACUAUAUCAGCAUGAUGCUUCAACAUUUUAUUCUAUUUCUCAUCUUCACAUUCUGAUCAAGUCAGUGAUGCUGUCUUUAGAUGAGUUUCUGACAUAAAUAGGGUCUUCAAAUGUUCUAGUUUAACAUAAAACACCAUUAAAUAUUAGUUUAUAAAAUAUGCCAACCUUAAAUUAAAGCUGAAAAUGCUUUUUGACCAACUGUGAGCAUGUGACUGUACUUUUUCAUUUUGUUAUGUUGUUUUGUUGAGGUCGUGUUCCUAAGGCCUGUAGUUACAGUUGGUGCUAUUAGCAAUAAACAUUUCACACCAUCAUGAUGAUGUCUGUUAACUUGUGAAUGUAACUGUCUUGAAAAAAAAGGAAUCUUGCAGUGAAGAUCAUUCCCGGGCAGUGGUCAGAAAAAAAGAGCUUUGACUUGAAGGGUUUUCCAAGCCAAGACUAUGGAGUUGACUGUGGGAUCUUCAUGCUGAUGUCAGACAUGCCCUACUUGCGUAAAUGGUGGUGCUUGCUGUUGAUGGAGAACUUUGAUCUCAGAAGCUCUGGCAAGCUAUUUGCACACUGGAGAGAGGAAGCCAAAGCUGUGCUUGAAGGACAACACGUGCCCAUUUUCAGACUGAAAAAGCGCAAGUUCCAGGAAGUCAGUCAGGAGCCAGCAGUUGUUGAAGAUCUGCGUCCUGCUGUGCAGUGGGUUGUCCAAAAUAAGGCACUUUUCCGUGGACACGUAACAAUGCCAAAAUAUCUGUCCUUAAAUCAAGGGGACCAGCAGAGGGUCUUAAGAGACAUGUCAGAGGAAGAAGACACUGGAGCAAGGCACUUGUUCCUCUUUGUUUUUCAGUUUGCAGAAGACAUGGAGCUCUUUUUGAAAGCAUGUGCUGAUGAGCAGGGACUAAGGGUCAGUGCUAUGUUUGACAUGUAAUGGACAAAUAAAGGCACUGGCUGUUUGUUAUAUUUGUUUCUUUGUUUAAUAUGUCAUUGUUGUUGUUUUUGUUUUGUUUUUGCAUAGUACAAAAUUCCAAUUAAACUUAUUUCAAAAUGUUGUUCACUUGAUUCUAUGUCCAUACUUUUAAUAAAGGAUUACAGUGUAACAGCAUAAGCACUCUGGGCUCUAUCCUGGCCAUUUGUGGCCACUUCACUUAUUCUUUUUUUUUUUUUGACUGCUGCACUGCAGUGGACCAAAAGAAUGACACGGGUUUGAUCUUAAGGAUCUAAUAGUUGUGUGUGUUGUGCAUGACAUUGCCACACAAAUGUAUUUGCAAGCUAGAGUAGAAUAAAUUAUGACGCAUCAAAUAUUACAUAGGCUGCAGUGAGUUUUUGUUGAUACAGACUAUUGAGCUUUGAGUUUCCCAGUCAAACUUAGCUUUGAAGCACAUGCUAAAAACACUUUUACUCUUGUACACUUCAUAACAAGACACCAUAGCCAAAAUAUUAACAAAAUAUAUAUUAAUAAAAAAUUCAAAGCUGCAGCACAUACAGCAACAAACACUGUUAGUAAAUGUGUCCUGGAGUUUAUGCAGGUGCAGAAAGUGCUGCUGCUGUAAGUAAGCCUAACAGCUUCCAGAUCACUUAUUUUUCUGGAAAGAUGGUAGGAAGGGCAUCACUGCUCAUUUCUACAGUCUCCCAGAUCUUGGAAUACAAUGCCUUUGUCCCAUGAAACCACUUCACAGUACUAGGAGUCCACUAAAACCUAUAAAGAGAGUGAUCCUGGAAGAAAUGGGGCACACACUAGUGACCUCAACAAUUGCAAGACAGCCUAUUCCCCGAUGCUCAGAUGGGGGGGAAAAAAAAGGAAGUUUCAUGAAAACAUUAGGACUUUAUCACCGUUUUAUCUGAAAAGUUAAUGGUAAUAUCUAACCUAACUGGCUAUAAAGACUAAAAAAUUUAAAUACAAUUUUGAUUUUAAAGAGUCACGUCGGUAAAAGUAGAUAAAUGUUUUAAGAAAUAUACAUUUUAUAGCAUUUUGUGAACAUACACAAAAAGUGGCCAUUUUUGGCAACGAACAAACUGAGAGAAAGUUUUAUAUUUUUUGCUCUCCUUGAACAAAAAUAACAGUGCAUAAUAAUCAGUGUUGAUGUUAAUCAAUUAAAUGUCCCAGACUCUACUAUUAAUAAUACAGCAGUCCCUCGUUUAUCGCAGGAGUUACGUUCUAAAAAUAACCCGCGGUAGGUGAAAUCCCUGAAGUAGCCAACUUUAUUUUUUACAAUUAUAGAUGUUAAGACUGUAAAACCCCUCACCACAUGCUUUAUACACUUUUCUCAGACAGGCAUGAACAUUUUCACACUUUUCUCUUUUGUUUAAACACUCUUAGAGUUCAAACCUUCGUAGAAACAUAAGUCCAGUAUUAUGGAAUGAAACCAAAAGGUGCCUUUGGCGGUGCAAAACGUAUCGUCGGCAUUGUUGUGUUUGUUUGGGAGAAAACCUACAAACAUACAUUACAGCACUUCAGAGUUACACUGCUAGAAGAUUUAUGUAAAUUCGACAAGCUAAACGCAUUCUGUACUGUACAGCAGCAGUCCCCAACCUUUUUUGCACCACGGACCACUUUAAUGUCAGACAAUAUUUUCAGGGAACGACCUUUAAGGUGUCGCGGAUAAAUACAACAAAAGAAUAAAAAAGAAACUGUGGUAUUUUGUAAAUAUAAUAAUAAACGUGACUUGAGCUGUGCGCCAACAACAAUGACAGUGACAUCCUCCUCUCUGCUUCUUAAUGCUCUCUGGUCGCUAUGGUAACGCGUAAAUAGUUCUUUCAAAAUAAGACACACAACUACAACCAUACAUUUCACACCGGAGCCUCAACUCUCGCGGAACGGUACCAAAGGACUCACGGACCGGUACCGGUCCGUGGGCCUAUUAGGGGCCGCUACUGUACAGGAGACACUGGACUAGAUUGAUUGACAAUGGUCUACAGCAAUCAGAACGCACAACACGAUGUACUGUAAAAAAAAAAAAAAAAUCAGUGAAACAGCGAGUGUCGUGGAAGGUGCGCCGCGUUAUAGCACUUUUGGCCACGAACAAUUUAGGGGAUGGUGAAUUUUUUUGAACAAACCCAGAGUGUUAAAAAACCCCCACUUAAAACCAUUUUUAUUUCUCAGCAGCAUCAAUAGUAACAAAAACACAAUUUAGUUUUCGCUGUCAAAGUCGAUUUAACUGAAGUUAUGUGUUUCCGGUUAUUGUGGAGGUCACGUGUUUCCGGUUAGUGUGGAGGUCACGUGUAUCCGGUUACUGUGGAGCUCCACAGUGGCUGCAGCCAGGUGCUCUUGCUUCAUCCAGCCACUCGACUCCGGACUUCCAGCAGGUAAGUAUGCUGGCUUCCCUUCCUCUCAAUUCUGAGUUUUUCCCCUCUUUUGUCCGUCGAUUUCUCGGUUUGAGUAGCAGAUGCCUCCACUCCUCUUGCUGAGAUGAGAAAAACCCGGGAGCACCAUGCACUUUCACCUCUCUUCCUGGCUGACAGGGUCAAUGCGGCCUGGGUAGGCGCUGAUUGGUCGCUGAGCUAGGUGCCCUCACGUGGGGUGAACUGAGAGGUGCAUUCAAUGGUCAUAGGAAAUAUGACGCUUUGUUGAUGUGUACAGUUAAAAUAAAGAGGAUAGAUACUCUCUCUUCUCUACCAUUGGUUUAAAUAUGAGUUUUUCCAUCUGGGCUACACCUGCCUAAUAUUUUUUCCCUGCGUAUUCAUUACUUUUCCGCUUAGACUUGUUCAGGUCCACUCAGGCCAUCUGAACUAUCUGUUUGAAGACAGUGAAUCGUGAUCUGAUUCAUGAUCUAAUUUUUAACGUCUUCAAACUAUGCAGUUACUCCAU
ensembl:lncRNA